rnacentral:tRNA from 1 species
GGGAAUGUGGCUUAGUGGUAGAGUGCUUGCUUAGCAUGCAUUAAGCCCUGGGUUCAAUUCCUCAGUACCA